rnacentral:rRNA from 1 species
UACGUAGGGGGCUAGCGUUAUCCGGAAUUACUGGGCGUAAAGGGUGCGUAGGCGGUCUUUCAAGCCAGAAGUGAAAGGCUACGGCUCAACCGUAGUAAGCUUUUGGAACUGUAAGACUUGAGUGCAGGAGAGGAGAGUGGAAUUCCUAGUGUAGCGGUGAAAUGCGUAGAUAUUAGGAGGAACACCAGUAGCGAAGGCGGCUCUCUGGACUGUAACUGACGCUGAGGCACGAAAGCGUGGGGAGCAAACAGGAUUAGAUACCCUGGUAGUCCACGCCGUAAACGAUGAGUACUAGGUGUCGGGGGUUACCCCCCUCGGUGCCGCAGCUAACGCAUUAAGUACUCCGCCUGGGAAGUACGCUCGCAAGAGUGAA